UACAGAGGGUGCAAGCGUUGUUCGGAUUUACUGGGCGUAAAGCGCGUGUAGGCGGCUUCGUAAGUUGGAUGUGAAAUCCCACGGCUCAACCGUGGACGUGCAUCCAAAACUACGUCGCUGGAGUCUCGGAGAGGAAGGUGGAAUGCUUGGUGUAGAGGUGAAAAUUCGUAGAUAUCAAGCAGAACACCUGCGGCGAAGGCGGCCUUCUGGACGAUGACUGACGCUGAGACGCGAAAGCGUGGGGAGCAAACAGG
rnacentral:rRNA from 1 species